UUUUGAGUGAAGUGACUCAAUUGUGUUAUUUAGUGUUGGGACGGUUACUGAAAUCCAGUUCGGCUGGAAGUAUAAAGAAGACAGAGAAAUGCAACAGUCCCCCUCCCCCGCCCCUUUAUACUUCUAAGGAAGUUACCAGCUUGAGUAGAAAUUGGUCAUUGGUCAUUCAAAGACCUUGAAGUGGAAGUGUCUGACAUGACUUCGGAGUCAAUAGUCUUCUACUCUGAAGCAAGGGUUUCAAGACGCGAAUGGAAUGUUCUGGGAAUGAUCUGAAGAAGACAAGACACAGAUUUAAUUAUUGGAGAUUUGAGCUUAUAAAAAUGUUAUUCAAAGCUACAAACUACUGCCUGGUCUGGGUGCGACACGGUCUGUUCCGCUCUCCCCUAUUUUGGGUGCGACACGGUCUGUUCGGCUCUCCCCAGCACACUGCACUUUGCCGCCUCUUCCGAAGCAGCUGGUUUCCCAUGGGCUUCUAUUUCUAUACCUGAUACGUGUUUAAAGUCAAGUCUAUGGAGUAGUGGAAAAAAGUUAUCCGCCAAAACCACGUUCUCAGAGUCUGACCACAACAGUCGAGUCUUAGACACUGUCCUGGCCCGGUGCAGAGGCAGGUCUCGGACAGCGCGGAGCGCCCGACUCGGUCACUCAAGCUUAGGUUGCUGCUUAGCGACAAGCCAUUUCUGCGCAUGGUCCAAGGAGAAGGCUCGACGUCUACACUGCUGGAGACCCUCCUCCUCACUGGAUCCAAGGUUUUCCUCCCUGGUCGUCCAUGGCACAUGAACUCCCCUGUCAGAGCAGACUGAGACAUCUUCACGGUGGGAAUCCUGUCUGUCUUGCACACCACUGUAUCUCCGUGCCCAGCACAAUACCAGUGACGGGGUAGUUCUCUCAGUGCCUGUCGAGGAACGAAAGAGACAGUAAAUGAAAUCCCUCCAGCGUACGGCAAAUACACAAAACCUGUGGGAUCCAGAGCUGAUGAAAACUAGUGGGGAAGGACUACAGGGCCAAGGACAAUGAGUGCAAGACGGGGAAAAGUGACGAAGAAUGGGAAGAAAUUAGAACAAAAUGCAGCCUGUGGUGGCGAUCUGUCCAAACAGAUUCUUGGACUGUGGUUUUUUUAAACUUGGCUAAAUGGGCAUGAAUAUCAAUUGUCAUAGAUCUUUUUCUUUGUCUUUUUUUUUGGUCCUGGUUUUCAGAAGAAGAAAUAAAUGACGAGAGAGGAUUUCUGAGCCUGCUUGUCCCUCUGUGAAUAAGUUUAACCAGGGGACGCUCGUGUGACCUGUGACCAUUUGCUCCUGUUGAGGGAGAAAUGGAAACAUCUUUCUCCUGUCCCAAAGUUCUCCAGAAAUUAGUGACAGAUCUUUAAUGGAGCCCUGGUAUUGUGUUCUUGGUUUCAGACUUUUUUUUUGAAUCUAAGGUUUUGUUUGUUUCUGUUUCUUCUUCAUGUUCCUUUGUUUUUUCCCCUACAUUGUGCCUUUGUCAUCGUUGUUCUAAAUUUCCAUGAAUCGAACCCUAAUGAAACGACUUAAGACACCAUUUAGUAAAGACAAACACCAGCAAAUAAACCCGAAAGACGAAAAGCAAAACAAAAAAAGCUCUUCUGUUUUUAGCACGGUCUCGUAGCCAAGGUCGCUGCUGGGUGCCAGCCUGGAGGGAGGGAAGUCAUUGUGUUCACGGAGCUGUCCUUGAACCCUGCGUUGACCUUCGAGGCCGU